CAGAUAAAGGCCCUCUUUUCCAUUCUUAGGAAGCAAUUUUGGAGGUGGUGGAAGCUACAAUGAUUUUGGCAGUUACAACAAUCAAUCUUCAAAUUUUGGACCCAUGAAAGGAGGAAACUUUGGAGGCAGAAGUUCUGGCCCCUAUGGUGGUGGAGGCCAAUACUUUGCCAAACCCCGAAACCAAGGUGGCUAUGGUGGUUCCAGCAGCAGCAGUAGUUAUGGCAGUGGCAGAAGGUUUUGAUUACUGCCAGGAAACAAAGCUUAGCAGGAGAGGAGAGCCAGAGAAGUGACAGGGAAGCUACAGGUUACAACAGAUUUGUGAACUCAGCCAAGCACAGUGGUGGCAGGGCCUAGCUGCUAUUUU